UCCUACGGGAGGCAGCAGUGGGGAAUUUUCCGCAAUGGGCGAAAGCCUGACGGAGCAACGCCGCGUGAGGGAUGAAGGCCUCUGGGCUGUAAACCUCUUUUAUCAAGGAAGAAGAUCUGACGGUACUUGAUGAAUAAGCCACGGCUAAUUCCGUGCCAGCAGCCGCGGUAAUACGGGAGUGGCAAGCGUUAUCCGGAAUUAUUGGGCGUAAAGCGUCCGCAGGCGGCCCUACAAGUCUGCUGUUAAAAAGUGGAGCUUAACUCCAUCAUGGCAGUGGAAACUGUUGGGCUUGAGUGUGGUAGGGGCAGAGGGAAUUCCCGGUGUAGCGGUGAAAUGCGUAGAUAUCGGGAAGAACACCAGUGGCGAAGGCGCUCUGCUGGGCCAUCACUGACGCUCAUGGACGAAAGCCAGGGGAGCGAAAGGGAUUAGAUACCCCUGUAGUCCUGGCCGUAAACGAUGAACACUAGGUGUCGGGGGAAUCGACCCCUCCGGUGUCGUAGCCAACGCGUUAAGUGUUCCGCCUGGGGAGUACGCACGCAAGUGUGAAACUCAAAGGAAUUGACGG
rnacentral:rRNA from 1 species